rnacentral:tRNA from 1 species
GCGGGAUUAAUUUAGUGGCAGAAUACGACCUUCCCAAGGUUGAGACACGGGUUCGAUUCCCGUAUCCCGCA